rnacentral:tRNA from 1 species
AAACAAUAGCAAAAAUUGCAUUUCGAUUUCGGCUCGAAAAGAGGUACACUCCAAAACCAUUGUUUA